CUUGACAUCCACAGAACUUAGCAGAGAUGCUUUGGUGCCUUCGGGAACUGUGAGACAGGUGCUGCAUGGCUGUCGUCAGCUCGUGUUGUGAAAUGUUGGGUUAAGUCCCGCAACGAGCGCAACCCUUAUCCUUUGUUGCCAGCGGUCCGGCCGGGAACUCAAAGGAGACUGCCAGUGAUAAACUGGAGGAAGGUGGGGAUGACGUCAAGUCAUCAUGGCCCUUACGACCAGGGCUACACACGUGCUACAAUGGCAUAUACAAAGAGAAGCGACCUCGCGAGAGCAAGCGGACCU
rnacentral:rRNA from 1 species